rnacentral:ncRNA from 1 species
ACCCGUAUGGUGACAUACAGCUGAAUUGCAAGAAGUCAGCAGAGGUCAUAGUACCGGGAAGAAAUUUUUCCCCGGAAAGGA